UUCCAGACUCCUACGGGAGGCAGCAGUGGGGAAUAUUGCACAAUGGGGGAAACCCUGAUGCAGCGACGCCGCGUGAGCGAUGAAGUAUUUCGGUAUGUAAAGAUCUAUCAGCAGGGAAGAAGAUGACGGUACCUGACUAAGAAGCCCCGGCUAACUACGUGCCAGCAGCCGCGGUAAUACGUAGGGGGCAAGCGUUAUCCGGAUUUACUGGGUGUAAAGGGAGCGUAGACGGCGAUGCAAGCCAGAUGUGAAAGCCCGGGGCUCAACCCCGGGACUGCAUUUGGAACUGUGUGGCUGGAGUGUCGGAGAGGCAGGCGGAAUUCCUAGUGUAGCGGUGAAAUGCGUAGAUAUUAGGAGGAACACCAGUGGCGAAGGCGGCCUGCUGGACGAUGACUGACGUUGAGGCUCGAAAGCGUGGGGAGCAAACAGGAUUAGAUACCCGAGUACA
rnacentral:rRNA from 1 species